rnacentral:rRNA from 1 species
UUAAGCGACUAAGCGUACACGGUGGAUGCCUAGGCAGUCAGAGGCGAUGAAGGGCGUGCUAAUCUGCGAAAAGCGUCGGUAAGGUGAUAUGAACCGUUACAACCGACGAUACCCGAAUGGGGAAACCCAGUGCAAUUCGUUGCACUAUUGCAUGGUGAAUACAUAGCCAUGCAAGGCGAACCGGGGGAACUGAAACAUCUAAGUACCCCGAGGAAAAGAAAUCAACCGAGAUUCCCCUAGUAGCGGCGAGCGAACGGGGAAGAGCCCAGAGUCUGAAUCAGUUUGUGUGUUAGUGGAAGCGUCUGGAAAGUCGCACGGUACAGGGUGAUAGUCCCGUACACAAAAACACACUUGCUGUGAACUCGAUGAGUAGGGCGGGACACGUGACAUCCUGUCUGAAUAUGGGGGGACCAUCCUCCAAGGCUAAAUACUCCUGACUGACCGAUAGUGAACCAGUACCGUGAGGGAAAGGCGAAAAGAACCCCGGCGAGGGGAGUGAAAUAGAACCUGAAACCGUGUACGUACAAGCAGUGGGAGCACCUUCGUGGUGUGACUGCGUACCUUUUGUAUAAUGGGUCAGCGACUUAUAUUUUGUAGCAAGGUUAACCGAAUAGGGGAGCCGUAGGGAAACCGAGUCUUAACUGGGCGUCUAGUUGCAAGGUAUAGACCCGAAACCCGGUGAUCUAGCCAUGGGCAGGUUGAAGGUUGGGUAACACUAACUGGAGGACCGAACCGACUAAUGUUGAAAAAUUAGCGGAUGACUUGUGGCUGGGGGUGAAAGGCCAAUCAAACCGGGAGAUAGCUGGUUCUCCCCGAAAGCUAUUUAGGUAGCGCCUCGUGAACUCAUCUUCGGGGGUAGAGCACUGUUUCGGCUAGGGGGUCAUCCCGACUUACCAAACCGAUGCAAACUCCGAAUACCGAAGAAUGUUAUCACGGGAGACACACGGCGGGUGCUAACGUCCGUCGUGAAGAGGGAAACAACCCAGACCGCCAGCUAAGGUCCCAAAGUCAUGGUUAAGUGGGAAACGAUGUGGGAAGGCAUAGACAGCCAGGAUGUUGGCUUAGAAGCAGCCAUCAUUUAAAGAAAGCGUAAUAGCUCACUGGUCGAGUCGGCCUGCGCGGAAGAUGUAACGGGGCUAAACCAUGCACCGAAGCUGCGGCAGCGACACUUAGGUGUUGUUGGGUAGGGGAGCGUUCUGUAAGCCGUUGAAGGUGACCUGUGAGGGUUGCUGGAGGUAUCAGAAGUGCGAAUGCUGACAUAAGUAACGAUAAUGCGGGUGAAAAACCCGCACGCCGGAAGACCAAGGGUUCCUGUCCAACGUUAAUCGGGGCAGGGUGAGUCGACCCCUAAGGCGAGGCUGAAAAGCGUAGUCGAUGGGAAACAGGUUAAUAUUCCUGUACUUGGUGUUACUGCGAAGGGGGGACGGAGAAGGCUAGGCUAGCCGGGCGACGGUUGUCCCGGUUUAAGCAUGUAGGCGGAGUGACUUGGUAAAUCCGGUUGCUUAUCAACGCUGAGGUGUGAUGACGAGCCACUACGGUGGUGAAGUAGUUGAUGCCAAGCUUCCAGGAAAAGCCUCUAAGCAUCAGGUAACAUUAAAUCGUACCCCAAACCGACACAGGUGGUCAGGUAGAGAAUACUCAGGCGCUUGAGAGAACUCGGGUGAAGGAACUAGGCAAAAUGGUGCCGUAACUUCGGGAGAAGGCACGCUGGCAUUAGGUAAAGAGACUUGCUCUCGGAGCUGAAGCCAGUCGCAGAUACCAGCUGGCUGCAACUGUUUAAUAAAAACACAGCACUGUGCAAACACGAAAGUGGACGUAUACGGUGUGACGCCUGCCCGGUGCUGGAAGGUUAAUUGAUGGGGUCAGCCUUACGGCGAAGCUCUUGAUCGAAGCCCCAGUAAACGGCGGCCGUAACUAUAACGGUCCUAAGGUAGCGAAAUUCCUUGUCGGGUAAGUUCCGACCUGCACGAAUGGCGUAAUGAUGGCCAGGCUGUCUCCACCCGAGACUCAGUGAAAUUGAACUCGCUGUGAAGAUGCAGUGUACCCGCGGCAAGACGGAAAGACCCCGUGAACCUUUACUAUAGCUUGACACUGAACAUUGAGCCUUGAUGUGUAGGAUAGGUGGGAGGCAUUGAAGUGUGGACGCCAGUCUGCAUGGAGCCAACCUUGAAAUACCACCCUUUAAUGUUUGAUGUUCUAACUCGGCCCCGUGAUCCGGGGUGAGGACAGUGUCUGGUGGGUAGUUUGACUGGGGCGGUCUCCUCCCAAAGAGUAACGGAGGAGCACGAAGGUUAGCUAAUCACGGUCGGACAUCGUGAGGUUAGUGCAAAGGCAUAAGCUAGCUUGACUGCGAGAGUGACGGCUCGAGCAGGUACGAAAGUAGGUCUUAGUGAUCCGGUGGUUCUGAAUGGAAGGGCCAUCGCUCAACGGAUAAAAGGUACUCCGGGGAUAACAGGCUGAUACCGCCCAAGAGUUCAUAUCGACGGCGGUGUUUGGCACCUCGAUGUCGGCUCAUCACAUCCUGGGGCUGAAGUAGGUCCCAAGGGUAUGGCUGUUCGCCAUUUAAAGUGGUACGCGAGCUGGGUUUAGAACGUCGUGAGACAGUUCGGUCCCUAUCUGCCGUGGGCGUUGGAAGAUUGAGAGGGGCUGCUCCUAGUACGAGAGGACCGGAGUGGACGAAUCACUGGUGUUCGGGUUGUCAUGCCAAUGGCAUUGCCCGGUAGCUAAAUUCGGAAGAGAUAACCGCUGAAAGCAUCUAAGCGGGAAACUUGCCUCGAGAUGAGUCUUCCCUGGGGCUUUAAGCUCCCUGAAGGAACGUUAAAGACUAUGACGUUGAUAGGCUGGGUGUGUAAGUGCAGCGAUGCAUUGAGCUAACCAGUACUAAUGAUCCGUGAGGCUUAACCUU